AUUCCAGCAAUACUCUGGAGUCUUUGUUUUUCCUGAUGCAUUGCAUUUCUGUGGUUGCUUCCAGGGCCUCCCACAUCCCCAGCCUCUCUGCAGGAGCAGCACCUCUGCAGGCAGCUGCCGAGGACCUGCUGUGCAAACUGUUGAGCUAGCGCUAGGGCUUGGCAUGGAUCCCACAAGGCUCUGCUUGACAAAAGGUAUCCUCAGCUGCUGGAGCAAACCUCACCAGGCUGUGGCACAUGUGGCUGAGCUUUUUAAAGAGACGGGAAGGAAGGAAGGGUCUGAACAGCCUCCCAGGAGCUGCUGAUGCUCCUGUGUUACCUGCCAGGCUCUGACCUAUCGCGAAAGCCCUUUCUGCUGUCCCCACAUCCUUUUCCAACCCCAAAUUAAACGGUGAUGGAGCCCUUGGGACAGACAGACUCAACCCCCACACCUGCUGCUCUCAGGGUGCCCCUCGUGAUGCACCGACCCAGAGCUGGCCACUGCCUGUUGGUAAGGAUGAAAUGACAGCUUGGACAUGAAGAUGGUGCACGGUCCAGGGAGCCAGGUUGUCGGUUUGAACGUGUAGAACAUUAUUGCUCGUGAAUUAUGGAUAGUGAUUGCACCUUCUGGAC
rnacentral:lncRNA from 1 species